rnacentral:rRNA from 1 species
CCUUGACAUACUAAGAACUUUCCAGAGAUGGAUUGGUGCCUUCGGGAACUUAGAUACAGGUGCUGCAUGGCUGUCGUCAGCUCGUGUCGUGAGAUGUUGGGUUAAGUCCCGNAACGAGCGCAACCCUUUUCCUAUUUGCCAGCGGGUCAUGCCGGGAACUUUAAGGAUACUGCCAGUGACAAACUGGAGGAAGGCGGGGACGACGUCAAGUCAUCAUGGCCCUUACGGCCAGGGCUACACACGUGCUACAAUGGUCGGUACAAAGGGUUGCUACCUCACGAGAGGAUGCUAAUCUCAAAAAGCCGAUCGUAGUCCGGAUCGCAGUCUGCAACUCGACUGCGUGAAGUCGGAAUCGCUAGUAAUCGCGGAUCAGAAUGCCGCGGUGAAUACGUUCCCGGGCCUUGUACACACCGCCCGUCACACCAUGGGAGUUUGUUGCACCAGAAGUAGGUAGUCUAACCGCAAGGAGGACGCUUACCACGGUGUGGCCGAUGACUGGGGUGAAGUCGUAACAAGGUAAGCGUAGAUGA